GCUUGCUCCCUGAUGUUAGCGGCGGACGGGUGAGUAACACGUGGGUAACCUGCCUGUAAGACUGGGAUAACUCCGGGAAACCGGGGCUAAUACCGGAUGCUUGUUUGAACCGCAUGGUUCAAACAUAAAAGGUGGCUUCGGCUACCACUUACAGAUGGACCCGCGGCGCAUUAGCUAGUUGGUGAGGUAACGGCUCACCAAGGCAACGAUGCGUAGCCGACCUGAGAGGGUGAUCGGCCACACUGGGACUGAGACACGGCCCAGACUCCUACGGGAGGCAGCAGUAGGGAAUCUUCCGCAAUGGACGAAAGUCUGACGGAGCAACGCCGCGUGAGUGAUGAAGGUUUUCGGAUCGUAAAGCUCUGUUGUUAGGGAAGAACAAGUACCGUUCGAAUAGGGCGGUACCUUGACGGUACCUAACCAGAAAGCCACGGCUAACUACGUGCCAGCAGCCGCGGUAAUACGUAGGUGGCAAGCGUUGUCCGGAAUUAUUGGGCGUAAAGGGCUCGCAGGCGGGUUCCUUAAGUCUGAUGGUGAAAGCCCCCCGGCUCAACCGGGGGAGGGUCAUUGGGAAACUGGGGGAA
rnacentral:rRNA from 1 species